rnacentral:rRNA from 1 species
UACGUAGGGGGCAAGCGUUGUCCGGAUUUAUUGGGCGUAAAGAGCGUGUAGGCGGCCAGACAGGUCCGUUGUGAAAACUCGAGGCUCAACCUCGAGAUGUCGAUGGAAACCGUCUGGCUAGAGUCCGGAAGAGGAGUGUGGAAUUCCUGGUGUAGCGGUGAAAUGCGCAGAUAUCAGGAAGAACACCUAUGGCGAAGGCAGUGUUCUGGGCCAGUACUGACGCUGAGGAGCGAAAGCGUGGGGGAGCAAACAGG